rnacentral:rRNA from 1 species
UUUCUAUAUUUUGUUAAUUUAUUAAAGUUGUAAUAAAAUAUAUGAAAAGUAAUUUAUUCAUGGUAGUUUAAGUAAUAAUUAGUGAAAAAUAAUAAAAACUAAAGUUAAUAGUACUGUAAGGGAACAAGUAAUAUUGAUAAUAAAUUAAGAAAGUAAAAAUAUAAUUUUGUACCUUGUGUAUUAGGGAAAAUUAAUAUAUUUUAAUAAUAUUAAAGAUCUCGAAAUAAAAACAGUUAAUUUUAUAAAGGAGUUUUCGUAGGAUAUAAAUUUUAAAUAUAAGGUUAAAGGUGAAAUAUUAGUCGAGUUUUAUAAUAUCUAGUUUUUUAGCAGAUAAAUAUAAUUUAAUUUUUAUGGGGAAAUUACAUAAAAAGAAAGAAUAGAAGGGAAAAGCUUUUUAUUUUGAAAAUUUUAAAAUAGUAAUAUUUAAAUUAGGGAAUUAACUAAGCUUAAAAGUAGCUAUGUUUAUAAAGUGUUUUAACUAAGUUAAUUAAUUUUUAUUCUUAGCUUUUGAAAAUACUAAAAAUUUAUUUAAAAUAAUAAUUAAUAAGGUGAAAUGAUUUUAUUAGUAGAUAAAUAAAAUAAAAUAAAAAUUAAAAUAAAAAUCGGUUUUUAUAUAAAUAAGGGUAAUUUAAAGGAAUUCGGCAAAUGAUUUCUUUGCCUGUUUAUCAAAAACAUGUCUAUUUGGAGAUAUAAAAGGUCUAGCCUGCCCGCUGAUUAAAUGGAUUUAAGGGCCGCGGUAUUAUGACCGUGCAAAGGUAGCAUAAUCAUUAGGUUUUUAAAUGGAAUCUUGUAUGAAUGGCUGAACAAAAGAAAAGCUGUCUUUAAAUUUAAAAUUGAAUUUAACUUUUAAGUGAAAAGGCUUAAAUUAUCUAGUAAGACGAUAAGACCCUAUAAAGCUUUACAUUGUAAUUAUAUUUUAUUAAAUUUUAGUAAUAAAAAUUUAAUUUAAUUAUAUGUUUCAUUGGGGAGAUGGAAGUAAAAUUUAUAUUAACUGCUUAAUUAAGAUACAAUUAUUAAUGGAUAAUAUGUAAUAGAUCCUAUAUAUAGAUUAAAAGAUUAAGUUACUUUAGGGAUAACAGUGUUAUUUUUUUUGAGAGCUCCUAUCGAAAAAAAAGUUUGCAACCUCGAUGUUGAAUUAAAAGGUCUUUAUAGUGUAGUUACUAUAAAAGAAGGUCUGUUCGACCUUUAAAUUUUU